rnacentral:lncRNA from 1 species
GUGCAUUAGGAAAGUCCAACAGGAAUACGUAUACUCAGUCUACUCAGUUGUGUUUACUCUUUUUUUAUCUUCAUAUUCAUCGAGGAAUUUCUCGAGGUGAAAACAGAAGAAAGACAACCGAAAACAAAACGUAAACAGCCAAGCACCGAACGUUAGACACUUCUACGAGAUAUACGCAGAGAGAUCUCCAUUCCCCUUCCGUCCUUCAACGAGUAAAGAUCUAACGAACGUGACGUAUUAAACUAUUUAUUGAUUUUCUUUAUAACGUUAUCUAAUUACAACAUUC